rnacentral:rRNA from 1 species
AUUGAACGCUGGCGGCAGGCCUAACACAUGCAAGUCGAAAGAGUGGCGGACGGGUGAGUAAUGUCUGGGAAACUGCCCGAUGGAGGGGGAUAACUACUGGAGACGGUAGCUAAUACCGCAUACCAUCGGAUGUGCCCAGAUGGGAUUAGCUAGUAGGUGGGGUAACGGCUCACCUAGGCGACGAGCCCUAGCUGGUUCGAGAGGAUGACCAGCCACACUGGAACUGAGACACGGUCCAGAGUCCUACGGUAGGCAGCAGUGGGGAAUAUGGAAAAAUGGGCGCAAGCCGGAUGCAGCAAUGCCGCGUGUAUGAAGAAGGCCUUCGGGUUGUAAAGUACUUUCAGCGAGGAGGCGUUACUCGCAGAAGAAGCACCGGAUAACCCCGUGCCAGCAGCCGCGGUAAUAC